UACGUAGGGAGCAAGCGUUGUCCGGAAUCAUUGGGCGUAAAGCGCGCGUAGGUGGCCCUGUAAGUCCGUUGUGAAAGUCAAAGGCUCAACCUUUGAAAGCCGAUGGAUACUGCAGGACUAGAGUACGGAAGAGGCGAGUGGAAUUCCUGGUGUAGCGGUGAAAUGCGCAGAUAUCAGGAGGAACACCAAUGGCGAAGGCAGCUCGCUGGGACGGUACUGACGCUGGAGACGCGAAAGCGUGGGGAGCAAACAGG
rnacentral:rRNA from 1 species